rnacentral:rRNA from 1 species
GACGAACGCUGGCGGCGUGCUUAACACAUGCAAGUCGAACGAUGAAGCGCUGUCUUUUUGGUGGUGUGGAUUAGUGGCGAACGGGUGAGUAAUACGCGGGCAACCUGCCCCUCUGCUUCGGGAUAAGCUUUGGAAACGGGGUCUAAUACCGGAUGUGCCUGUCUGGUCGCAUGGCUGGGCGGGGAAAGAUGUUUUUCGGCGGGGGAUGGGCUCGCGGCCUAUCAGCUUGUUGGUGGGGUGACGGCCUACCAAGGCGUCGACGGGUAGCCGGCCUGAGAGGGUGGUCGGCCACACUAGGACUGAGAUACGGCCCAGACUCCUACGGGAGGCAGCAGUGGGGGAUAUUGCACAAUGGGCGCAAGCCUGAUGCAGCGACGCCGCGUGGGGGAUGGAGGCUUUCGGGUUGUAAACCCCUUUCGGCGCGGGACAAGGCUCCGUUUGGCGGGGUUGAGGGUACGCGUCAAAGAAGCGCCGGCUAAUUACGUGCCAGCAGCCGCGGUAAUACGUAGGGCGCGAGCGUUGUCCGGAAUUAUUGGGCGUAAAGGGCUCGUAGGCGGCUUUGUCCCGUCUGCUGUGAAAACGCGGGGCUCAACUCCGCUCCGUGCACUGGGGUCGGGCAUGUUGGAGUGCGGGCA